CACUAACAUAGCCUAGAUUACAGCGGGUGUCACUCCUGAACACUAACAUUCGCACACACACACACACACAGUGACUGCCUGUCCUUAAUCUAUUAUGGUCAGUCCAGCGCAGAGGGAGCACAGUAAAGUACAAGCAGCCCGCAGCGAGCAGAGCCAAAAUAAAAAGCCAAAUACCUCUAAAACGGUGAGGGGUUUUAACAGGCACAAAGGCACGCACGGCCGGGUGCAGCAGCAAUGCCAGGAUUUAUAGAACGCUGGGGCAGUAAACGGGACUCGGAAGCAUCAGCGGAGCCUUCCGGAACGGGUGUUUUUACAAACUGUAACUAUUGGAAACAAAUGCUGUGUUAAAGAGGUUGAAAAGAAACAUGAUCCACAGAGUCUCCACCCCCCAACACAGCUGGUUUCACUUCCUGGGGGAGACUUUACUCACGCCACCCCCACUUCCUGUUGAUCAGUCAGGAGAGAGGCUGUAAAUCUUCGAUGAGGACAUCAUUGAUGUUUGGGAUGUGGUUUUCUGUUUGGCUUUUGAUGGAGGUAACUUCAGCAAUACGGAUUGAAUCAAGCCCCUUACUGUAAUAGGCUUUUUGACAAAUCAGGAUAAAAUGGUCUGGUGGGUCCUGUGGCGAUGGUUAUUACCAUCAGGCAGUUUUACAGCCUUCUAAGCCUCACAUAUUUCAGCCUGUACGCCAGACUUCCUAAAGGAUCUCCUUCACUGUCACAUGUGUCUGGGUCUAGUAAAAUAAGCACUCAGCUCGUAAACCGGCCAAUGAGCAGACCCCAAAUAGCCACUUCUGCCAGCCUGACUGACAGAAGCCCUAAAGAGACGUGUUCAAAGAUGGAGGGAAGCUAGUCACAUGGAGAUUGAGGAGGCAGUCAAUCAAAGAGAAUGGCUACAUCUACCAGAAACAUUGACUGCAAUGUGCUUCUGUUGUCUUCUUGUCCUCCUCUGAGGAAACAACAGCUUUUUGUUGUUGUUGUCAGCCUCAUGUUGAAGUUUAUUUUCUCUGACUAUAUUUCUAAAAGGCACAACAAACCUGCUGCGUUCUCCGACUACCUACUUUCCUACUUUAGUACCCCAUCUCCCAGCGUGUGUGUGUGUGUGCGCGUGUGUGUGUGUGUGUGUGUGUGCGCGCACACCCUGUCUCCUGCGGUCUGCGUGCUGUAACGCUGUUCUGGUCUCCAGUAAAUCCAAACCACUACCAGGUGUACACACAGAGCCUAGGCUGAGCUGAGCAUACGGCCACAGCUGCUCUGUCUGUGUGUAGUUCUGUGUUUGUGUAUGCAUGUGUGAGUAGAAUGAAGUUGUCAUUAGCCGCUGAUCUAAAGUCAGAUUUUUACAUUUUUCACCCUGAUGCUAAAAAAACGUAAGCUGAUCCUAGAUCUGUACUUAAGGGGCAACCCGUAGUGAUUUAUAGAGCUGCCACCGCAUCAUAGACAUUCUUGUGUAGAGCCGUGCCCCGGUACAGCGGACCAGAGCUCUGUGUGCCAAACGACGCUACGUUCCCAGCUUCCUCUAUUCCCACGCUUUCCUCUGUACUGCCAACUGGGAACAUACAUACCUCCCCGUUCACAUCAUUAUGAGAAUAAUAGUCCAACUCUCUCUCUCUCUCAUGAUUUCUUGAUGUGCAGUAGGCCUACUUAAUGUAAAACGUGUGGUGUACUGUUACUAUAUGUUAGUUAAAGAAAGUAUACUCUCGUUACAUUGUCCGUCCAUCAUUUGGGUUAGCCAGUCGGGUUAACAACUGUUAUGAGAAUAUAAGAUGGUGAAUACAGUAGGUAAGAGGUACGAGGUAGGGAGUUCUACUCUCCUGUCCUUGACCGUUAUCAGAGCUGAAGGGAUAUCAAAGCACACAUUCUUCAGCAGAGAGACUGAAAACACUUUGAGACACUUUGAAACACUCCUGUCCAAAAGGCUCAGAGCAAGCUAUACCUCCAGGUGUUUGUGUCUGACAGGAGGGGAGAGCGCAGGGCAGCAGGACACUCUGUUUUCCAGAUAACACCUUGUUUACCAGAGUAAAUGGCAGUCAGAGGGGGGUAGAGACUAGAGAGCCUGGUUGAGACACACGACACAGCUGACCGUCAGAGGGGGGUAGAGACUAGAGAGCCUGGUUGAGACACACGACACAGCUGACAGUCAGAGGGGGGUAGAGACUAGAGAGCCUGGUUGAGACACACGACACAGCUAACAGUCAGAGGGGGGUAGAGACUAGAGAGCCUGGUUAAGACACACGAUACAGCUAACAGUCAGAGGGGGGUAGAGACUAGAGAGCCUGGUUGAGACACAGACACAGCUAACAGUCAGAGAGGGGUAGAGACUUGAGAGCCUGGUUGAGACACACGACACAGCUAACAGUCAGAGGGGGCUAGAGACUACAGAGCCUGGUUGAGACACACGACACAGCUAACAGUCAGAGAGGGGUAGAGACUAGAGAGCCUGUUUGAGACACACGACACAGCUGACAGUCAGAGGGGUGUAGAGACUACAGAGCCUGGUUGAGACACACGACACAGCUGACAGUCAGAGAGGGGUAGAGACUAGAGAGCCUGGUUGAGAGACACGACACAGCUGACAGUCAGAGAGGGGUAGAGACUAGAGAGCCUGGUUGAGACACAUGACACAGCUAACAGUCAGAGAGGGGUAGAGACUAGAGAGCCUGGUUGAGACACACAACACAGCUAGCAGAGACAGAUCUGUACCUGGUCACAUUAUAAUGCCAUAACAGGUGAUACACAACUGCUAGUGUGGUGUGUGUGUGUGUGUGUGUGUGUGUGUGUGUGUGUGUGUGUGUGUGUGUGUGUGUGUGUGUGUGUGUGUGUGUGUGUGAGAGACAGAGAGAUGUUUGCUGCUGAAAGGUUUCACUUAUCAGCAACGUCAACCUAUACUUCAUGGAAAACCUUCUAGUUUGAAGUUAAGACAAGGGCAACGUGAAAGACAGAGUCUGGGGCACUAUGGCUGCGUUUCGACAGGCAGCCCAAAUUUUUUUUUUUUCAUUAAUUGGUCUUUUGACCAAUCAGGUCAAAUGAUCUGAUUGUCUGAACAGCCAAUGUCUACUCAACGUUGUGUAUGAUGUAGUUUACAUGAAGACAGUUGUGAGAAGUUGUUUUGACACAACAUAAUUAAUAUGCAAUGUUAACUUUUACAUUUUACUGCACAUUUUUAAUGUUUUGUUCUAUGCUGAGGAAAAUGUGCUGUGUGAAAUUAGUAUAAUA